rnacentral:pre_miRNA from 1 species
CAGGGGGGUCUCUGCAGGUAGAGCUCUGGGCAUCUCCACCAUGGCCUGGACCCUUCUCCUCCUCCCUGUCCUCAAUCUCUGCACAGGUGA